rnacentral:misc_RNA from 1 species
AAGUCGUAACAAGGUAACCGUAGGUGAACCUGCGGUUGGAUCAUUAGUGGUUUUUACGUAGCGCUGUUGUAGUGUUUCUGGGGGGUUUUCUUUGGUUUUGUGUGUUUGUCUUUCUUUCUUUGUUUGUCUGUUUUUGUGCAUUGCCUUGUGCUGCCUUGUGCGGUGUCUUGUGCGGUGCCGUGGCAGUACAAACGGAUCGACGGCAACACUCGGACCAGACCCAAGAACCCUUGCAGACAAUAGACGUCUUUGCUUGCUUUGAUGAAACCAAAUCAAAAACAACUUUUGACAACGGAUCUCUUGGCUCUC